GCUGCAGUAAUGUGAGAGAUCUUUUAACCUGCAGUGUCAUUGGCUAUUCACAGCGAAGCUACUAAAUUUGACUACACAUUUUUUUGGUCUCUAGCCAUUCUGAUCCUUAUUGUGUAUGUUGGCUUCAGCAGGUUCAGAUUCGCUAUUUGAAGUAGGAUGCACCUAGAUGGAAUCUAUCGAUCUUGGUAGAAAAAAAAAAUCUUAUGUGAUU
rnacentral:lncRNA from 1 species